rnacentral:rRNA from 1 species
UGGAUUAGUGGCGAACGGGUGAGUAACACGUGAGUAACCUGCCCUCCACUUUGGGAUAACUCCGAGAAAUCGGGGCUAAUACUGGAUAUGACCUUGGCCCGCAUGGGUUGUGGUGGAAAGUUUUUCGGUGGGGGAUGGGCUCGCGGCCUAUCAGUUUGUUGGUGAGGUAGUGGCUCACCAAGGCGAUGACGGGUAACCGGCCUGAGAGGGCGACCGGCCACACUGGGACUGAGACACGGCCCAG